rnacentral:rRNA from 1 species
CUAAGAGGAUAACCCCCCACACUGGAACUGAGAUAAGGACCAGACUUCUACGGAAGGCAGCAGUGAGGAAUAUUGGUCAAUGGAGGAAACUCUGAACCAGCUAUGUCGCGUGUAGGAAGACAGUCUUUUAGAUUGUAAACUUCUUUUACAUAGGAAUAAAAGUUACUACGGGAUGGUAACAUGAAGGUACUAUGAGAAUAAGUGUCGACUAAUUUCGUGCCAGCAGUCGCGGUAAUACGAAAGACACAAGCGUUAUCCGGAUUUAUUGGGUUUAAAGGGUGUGUAGGUUGUUUAUUAAGUCAGUAGUGAAAGCUUACAGCUUAACUGUAAAAUUGCUAUUGAUACUAAUAAUCUUGAGUCAGAUUGGAGCAUCUGGAAUGUAUGGUGUAGCGGUGAAAUGCAUAGAUAUCAUACAGAACACCAAUAGCGAAGGCAGGAUGCUAAAUCUUCACUGACGCUGAGGCACGAAAGCGUGGGGAGCAAACAGGAUUAGAUACCCUGGUAGUCCACGCCCUAAACUAUGAUCACUAGCUAUUGGAAAAAUUAUAUUCAGUGGCCAAGCUAAAGCGAUAAGUGAUCCACCUGGGAAGUACGAUCGCAAGAUUGAAACUCAAAGGAAUUGACGGGGUUUCGCACAAGCGGUGGAGCAUGUGGUUUAAUUCGAUGAUACGCGAGGAACCUUACCAAGGUUUAAAUGUAUUCCGAAUAAGCUGGAAACAACUUAGUCUAUAAGACGUAAUACAAGGUGCUGCAUGGUUGUCUUCAGUUCGUGCUGUGAAGUGUUUGGUUAAGUCCUAUAACGAGCGCAACCCCUAUUGUUAGUUGCCAUCGGGUAAGGCCGGGGACUCUAACAAAACUGCCGAUGCAAAUCGAGAGGAAGGUGGGGAUAAUGUCAA